rnacentral:ncRNA from 1 species
GUGUAAGUAUGAACUAAUUCAGACUGUGAAACUGCGAAUGGCUCAUUAAAUCAGUUAUAGUUUGUUUGAUGGUACCUACUACUCGGAUAACCGUAGUAAUCUAGAGUAAUACAUCAAACAAACUAUAACUGAUUUAAUGAGCCAUUCGCAGUUUCACAGUCUGAAUUAGUUCAUACUUACACAUGCAUGGCUUAAUCUUUGAGACAAGCAUAUGACUACUGGCAGGAUCAACCAGGUAGCAUUCCUCGACGACGUCGCUGCCGCACGAG